AUUGAACGCUGGCGGCAUGCCUUACACAUGCAAGUCGAACGGUAACGGGCCUUCGGGUGCCGACGAGUGGCGAACGGGUGAGUAAUACAUCGGAACGUGCCCGAUCGUGGGGGAUAACGAGGCGAAAGCUUUGCCAAUACCGCAUACGAUCUACGGAUGAAAGCAGGGGACCGCAAGGCCUUGCGCGGAUGGAGCGGCCGAUGGCAGAUUAGGUAGUUGGUGGGGUAAAAGCUUACCAAGCCGACGAUCUGUAGCUGGUCUGAGAGGAUGAUCAGCCACACUGGGACUGAGACACGGCCCAGACUCCUACGGGAGGCAGCAGUGGGGAAUUUUGGACAAUGGGCGCAAGCCUGAUCCAGCCAUGCCGCGUGCAGGAUGAAGGCCUUCGGGUUGUAAACUGCUUUUGUACGGAACGAAAAGCCUUCUUUUAAUACAGGAGGGUCAUGACGGUACCGUAAGAAUAAGCACCGGCUAACUACGUG
rnacentral:rRNA from 1 species